GUGUUGCUUUGUAAGGACACUCAGGUGAUAUCAUCAAAAUGCUCGAUGAUGAAUCCAAAGUGGUGUGAUUACUGGCAUGUACCAUCACUCAUCCAUCCCAGAGCCCAAGUUUUUAACUACAUGGAAACCAUGAGGAAGAUCUCAGGACAUCCUUCUGGCACAAGGAUGGAUGACCGUGCAAGGAUGAGUGUAGUCCUCUCCCCUCAUCAACGAAACUUCUUUUUACAACGAUGGCGGCCGAUACAGAAAAACACAACUCGUCAAAAUGCAAAAUUGUGGAGCCCAGUUCCAACGUAUGAAUCUACAAGACACUCCAAGGCGCAGGGAACUUUUCAGGAGAGGUGGCAGAGAUCAGGGAGUUUGCUGUGAGUCUGUGGAUGUCUCACCAACACGACUGCCUAAACAUGAACUGAACAAGUACAAUACACGUGCCAACGUGGACAGGGAGCCCGCGAGGCCUCAACCCUACACAAAGAACUACAGGCAACUAAGGAAUGCUGGGGGCAGGGGGUCUUUUCCCAGAGAAGAGUACACCAGUGAUCAACCCUGAAAACAUUAUACAGUAAUGUAUAUACAAGUAAUAUUAUACAGAAAUGAGCAGGGUGUAUUUACGUAUUUAGAAAUAUAUACACAUAGCAAUACAAUGAAUAUGUGUGUAACGACAAUUAAUGAAAAAAGAGACCGCAAAUUUGAAAGAGAGCGAGGAGAGGUGUAUG